CCAAUAGCGUAUAUUAAAGUUGUUGCAGUUAAAAAGCUCGUAGUUGAAUUUCAGGCCUGGCUGGACGGUCCGCCUUUUGGGUGAGUACUGUCUGUGGUCGGGUCCUACCUUCUGGCGAAGCGUCAUGGCCUUAACCGGCCGUGGCGGGGAACCAGGACUUUUACUGUGAAAAAAAUUAGAGUGUUCAAAGCAGGCAGUCGCUUGAAUACAUUAGCAUGGAAUAAUGGAAUAGGACAAUGGUUCUAUUUGUUGGUUUCUAGGACCGUUGUAAUGAUUAAUAGGGAUAGUUGGGGGCAUUAGUAUUCAAUUGUCAGAGGUGAAAUUCUUGGAUUUAUUGAAGACUAACUACUGCGAAAGCAUUUGCCAAGGAUGUUUUCAUUAAUCAAGAACGAAAGUUAGGGGAUCGAAGACGAUCAGAUACCGUCGUAGUCUUAACCAUAAACUAUGCCGACUAGGAAUCGGGCGAUGUUGACAAAAUGACGCGCUCGGCACCUCAUG
rnacentral:rRNA from 1 species